rnacentral:rRNA from 1 species
CCAAUAGCGUAUAUUAAAGUUGUUGCAGUUAAAAAGCUCGUAGUUGAAUUUCGGGGUCAGUAGGUUGGUCAUGCCACUGGUAUGUACUGGUCUCACUGAUUCCUCCUUCCUGAUGAGCCGUAAUGCCAUUAAUUUGGUGUUGCGAGGAAUCUGGACUGUUACUUUGAAAAAAUUAGAGUGUUUAAAGCAGGCUAACGCUUGAAUACAUUAGCAUGGAAUAAUGAAAUAGGACGUUCGAUCUUAUUUUGUUGGUUUCUAAGAUUGACGUAAUGAUUAAUAGGGUUAUUUGGGGGCAUUAGUAUUCAAUUGUCAGAGGUGAAAUUCUUGGAUUUAUUGAAGACUAACUACUGCGAAAGCAUUUGCCAAGGAUGUUUUCAUUAAUCAAGAACGAAAGUUAGGGGAUCGAAGACGAUCAGAUACCGUCGUAGUCUUAACCAUAAACUAUGCCGACUAGGGAUCGGAUGAUGUUAAUUUUUUAAUGACUCAUUCGGCGCCUUACG